UCCCAGGUAGCUUAAUCGUAAAGCACCCAACCGUCAAUUGGGGGAUCUGGGUUCAAGUCCCGGUCCGGGCU
rnacentral:tRNA from 1 species